rnacentral:rRNA from 1 species
UGCAACGGUCAUACCAUCCAGAACACACCGGAUCCCAUCAGAACUCCGAAGAUAAGCUGGAUUAGUACUGUGUUGAGGGAUCACACGGGAAUCCCCAGUGCCGUUGUGU